ensembl:lncRNA
AUGGCUUGCAGUUUUAAGUGUCAGUAUUUUUGUGACAUCUUAUUUCCAAAUCUCAUUUGUGGUUGUGACGGACUUUUCCAGAACCUGUUGUUACAGCGUGUCUCAGUUCCUCCAGAACCUGUUGUUACAGCGUGUCUCAGUUCCUCCAGAACCUGUUGUUACAGCGUGUCUCAGUUGCUCCAGAACCUGUUGUUACAGCACGUCUCAGUUCCUCCAGAACCUGUUGUUACAGCGUGUCUCAGUUCCUCCAGAACCUGUUGUUACAGCGUGUCUCAGUUCCUCCAGAACCUGUUGUUACAGAGUGUCUCAGUUGCUCCAGAACCUGUUGUUACAGCGUGUCUCAGUUCCUCCAGAACCUGUUGUUACAGCGUGUCUCAGUUCCUCCAGAACCUGUUGUUACAGCGUGUCUCAGUUGCUCCAGAACCUGUUGUUACAGCACGUCUCAGUUCCUCCAGAACCUGUUGUUACAGCACGUCUCAGUUGCUCCAGAACCAGUUGUUACAGCACGUCUCAGUUCCUCCAGAACCUGUUGUUACAGCACGUCUCAGUUACUCCAGAACCUGUUGUUACAGCACGUCUCAGUUCCUCCAGAACCUGUUGUUACAGCACGUCUCAGUUGCUCCAGAACCUGUUGUUACAGCACGUCUCAGUUCCUCCAGAACCUGUUGUUACAGCACGUCUCAGUUGCUCCAGAACCAGUUGUUACAGCGUCUCAGUUGCUCCAGAACCUGUUGUUACAGCGUCUCUCAGUUGCUCCAGAACCUGUUAUUACAGCACGUCUCAGUUGCUCCAGAACCUGUUGUUACAACGUGUCUCAGUUCCUCCAAAACCUGUUGUUACAGCGUGUUUCAGUUGCUCCAGAACCUGUUGUUACAGCACGUCUCAGUUGCUCCAGAACCUGUUGUUACAGCACGUCUCAGUUGCUCCAAAACCUGUUGUUACAGAGUGUCUCAGUUGCUCCAGAACCUGUUGUUACAGCGUGUCUCAGUUCCUCCAGAACCUGUUGUUACAGCACGUCUCAGUUCCUCCAGAACCUGUUGUUACAGCACGUCUCAGUUGCUCCAGAACCUGUUGUUACAGCGUCUCUCAGUUGCUCCAGAACCUGUUGUUACAGCGUGUUUCAGUUGCUCCAGAACCUGUUGUUACAGCGUGUUUCAGUUGCUCCAGAACCUGUUGUUACAGCACGUCUCAGUUGCUCCAGAGCCUGUUGUUACAGCACGUCUCAGUUGCUCCAGAACCUGUUGUUACAGCGUGUCUCCGUUCCUCCAAAACCUGUUGUUACAGCGUGUUUCAGUUGCUCCAGAACCUGUUGUUACAGCACGUCUCAGUUGCUCCAGAACCUGUUGUUACAGCACGUCUCAGUUGCUCCAGAACCUGUUGUUACAGCACGUCUCAGUUGCUCCAGAACCUGUUGUUACAGCACGUCUCAGUUGCUCCAGAACCUGUUGUUACAGCACGUCUCAAUUGCUCCAGAACCUGUUGUUACAGCGUCUCUCAGUUGCUCCAGAACCUGUUGUUACAGCGUGUUUCAGUUGCUCCAGAACCUGUUGUUACAGCACGUCUCAGUUGCUCCAGAACCUGUUGUUACAGCACGUCUCAGUUGCUCCAAAACCUGUUGUUACAGAGUGUCUCAGUUGCUCCAGAACCUGUUGUUACAGCGUGUCUCAGUUCCUCCAGAACCUGUUGUUACAGCACGUCUCAGUUCCUCCAGAACCUGUUGUUACAGCACGUCUCAGUUGCUCCAGGACCAGUUGUUACAGCGUCUCAGUUGCUCCAGAACCUGUUGUUACAGCGUCUCUCAGUUGCUCCAGAACCUGUUGUUACAGCGUGUUUCAGUUGCUCCAGAACCUGUUGUUACAGCGUGUUUCA